UUUGCACUUCGGAACAUCUCCGUCUUCCAUAAAGGCGCUGGUGCAGGUGCUCUGUCUCAUCGGGGGAGGAUGCCACAGGAAGGACGGGCAGGGGGAAAGAAAUGAAGGAAAGCGCUGAGAGAGGAAAACACAGGAUAUGAUAAGCAGGGUAUCAGACUGGAAACGGAGGAAACUGAAUAUGAAAGAUUUAUUGCAAGGGGCACUUUGAGCUAUUAUUCCUGGUUGGCAAUAGUACUAUGAUUUGGUAUGUGGCCACUUUGAUAGCAAGUGUUUUCAGCACCCGAGGAACGGCAGCUCAAGGUGCCCACGGAGUGAGAGAGGAGCCCCAGUUUGUGACGGCCCGUGCAGGAGAGAGUGUUGUUUUGGGAUGUGACGUGAGCCACCCCCUAAACGGCCAGCAGACUCCCUAUGUGGUGGAGUGGUUUAAAUUCGGUGUGCCUAUUCCCUUCUUCAUCAACUUCCGUUUCUAUCCUCCUCAUGUGGACCCUGAGUACGCCGGUAGAGCCAGUCUGCAUGGCAAAGCGUCUCUGCAGAUCGACCAUGUGCGCUCGGAAGACCAGGGCUGGUACGAGUGCAGGGUCCUCAUGCUGGAACAACAAUACGACACCUUUCACAACGGCAGCUGGGUUCACCUCACAGUCAAUGCGCCCCCUACGUUCACGGAUACGCCACCGCAGUACGUGGAGGCGAGGGAGGGGGGCAGCAUUACUCUGACCUGCACUGCCUUCGGAAACCCCAAGCCAGUGGUCACCUGGCUGAGAGACGGGGAUCAGCUGACCAACAGCAAGAAAUACACGGUGAGUGACGGCAGUCUGACGGUGCAGGCCAUCACGCGGGAGGACCGGGGGGCCUACAGCUGUCGUGCCCACAGUGACCAGGGGGAGGCACUACACACCACCCGCCUUCUGGUGCAAGGUCCUCCAUAUAUUGUGUCACCACCUGAGAACAUCACUGUUAACAUAUCCCAGAAUGCCCAAUUUACAUGCCAAGCAGAGGCGUAUCCUGGUAACCUGACCUACACCUGGUACUGGGAAGAGGACAACGUCUACUUCAAGAAUGAUCUGAAGCUCCGAGUUCGCAUCUUUAUUGACGGAACCCUCAUUAUCUACAGAGUGAAGCCAGAGGAUGCUGGGAAAUACACCUGCAGCCCUAGUAACAGCCUGGGCAUCUCCCCUUCAGCUUCAGCUUACCUGACCGUGCAAUACCCUGCCCGUGUUGUGAACAUGCCACCUGUCAUCUACGCCCCAAGAAAGUUGCCGGGAAUCAUUCGCUGCCCAGUGGAUGCCAACCCCCCAGUUACGUCAGUCCGAUGGGAAAAAGAUGGCUACCCCCUUAGAAUCGAGAAGUAUCCUGGAUGGAGCCAGAUGGCGGACGGAAGUAUUCGGGUGGCAGAGGUCACUGAAGACUCCCUUGGCACCUACACCUGUGUGCCUUACAAUGUCCUAGGUACCAUGGGACAGUCCCCUCCGGCCACUCUGGUGCUAAAGGACCCCCCUUACUUCAACGUGAGCCCCGGGGGGGAGUACCGCCAGGAGGCGGGAAGAGAGCUGGUCAUCCCCUGCGCUGCUUCUGGAGACCCUGAGAUUCCAACCAUCGUAUGGAGAAAGGUUGGGAAGCCCAGCAGAAGCAAACAUAACAUCUUACCAAGUGGUAGCUUGCAAUUUGUCUCUCUGAGCAAAGAGGAUCAUGGGGAGUGGGAAUGUGUUGCCACCAACGUAGUAACAAGCAUCACUGCCAGCACACGCCUUUUUGUAAUAGGCACUAGUCCACAUGCGCCAACUAAUGUCCACGUGUCAGCAUCCACAAGCUCCGCUAACGUUUCCUGGGAACCUGGAUAUGACGGAGGCUUUGAACAGACGUUCUCGGUCUGGUAUGGCCCGGUAAAGUUGAAGAAUGAUUUAGGGCCACAUGACUGGCUGUCCGUACCUGUGCACGGUUCUCAGACGUGGUUGGUGGUCCAGGGGUUGGAGCCAAAGACUGCCUACGAAUUUAGUGUGUUGGCCCAGAACAAACUGGGCACCGGCCCCUUCAGUGAGGUAGUCACUGUGACUACAGGAGGGUAUCCCAUAAGUACCCCUGAACCACUGGUGCUUCUAACUCCACCACGGUGCCUCACAGCCAACCGGACACAGCAGGGUGUAUUGUUGACAUGGCUUCCUCCGGCCAAUCACUCUUCACCAAUCGACCGUUACAUCAUCGAGUUUCGUCUGGGGGAAAGGUGGGAGGUUCUGGAUGACUUAAUUCCUGCAACUGAGACUGAGAUCAUAGCAAGAGAUCUUAUUCAGGAUUCUUGGUAUGAAUUCAGAGCGCUGGCUGUAAUGGAUGAUCUUGUCAGUGAGAGCAGUAAUGUGGUGGGAGUGUCAAGUACAGACCCCUUCCCUCCCACAGAGAUCUCAGAUGAGGGGCUGGCCAAGCCAUUGGUGGCUGGCAUCGUGGCCACCAUCUGUUUCUUGGCGGCUGCCAUCCUCUUCAGCACACUUGCUGCAUGUUUUGUCAACAAGCAGCAUCGUCGCAAGCUCAAACGCAAACGAGACCCUCCACUAUCGAUUACACACACAAGGAAAAGCAUUGAAUCUCCGCCUCCUCUUACCCCCUUGCCUGGCAUUGAGCCCUACUGGGAAGAGCCAGACAGGAGCAGCUACAGGCCCCCAUCCACCAGCCCUCAGCUGUCCUCUGGAAAGAUCAGUCCUGAGAGCAUCACUUCCUCCCGGCCCCCAUCUCUGGCCAGCCUGGGUGGCCAUGGUCUUUACGUUAAGAAGUUGCCAAGCCCCAGGAAAGAGAAAGAGCUUUCCCUCUAUAAGAAAACCAAGAGAGCAAUAACCAGUAAGAAGUACAGCGUGUCCAAGCACGAGGCUGAGGUCACCACGCCCAUCGAGCUGAUCAGCCGUGGACCUGAUGGCCGAUUCGUUAUGGAUCCCAGUGACAUCGACACAUCCCUCAAGCCACGACGUAUUGAGGGUUUUCCUUUUGUGGAGGAAUCAGACUUGUAUCCUGAGUUCCGCCAAUCAGAUGAGGAGAACGAUGACCCAGGGCCCCUACCCCCAGUCAUGGCCACCCUCAGGCCCCAGAUAUCCCCUGUGUCCUCCAGCCAGGAGUCCUACAUGCAGCCCCCAGCCUACAGCCCCCGGUUCCAGAGGCCUAUGGAAGGUAUGAGCAUCUCGGAGGGUAGUCGGCUUGAGGCCACAGGGCAGAGCCGGGUCUCCCAUUUUCACAGGGUCUUCCCUCCAGGCCCCUUCUAUGGCUAUCUAGGUAGUGGUGCUGAGGUGGAGCUUCACCCUCCUUUUUACAUGCCUGAUGUUAGUCCACGUAGCUCUGCCAUGUCCUCCUCACCUUCAUACCCCCCUGAGGGGCCGUUCCGCCAUCCCACCAUCCCAGAGGAGAGGGAGGAGCUGAUGAUCCAUCAGUAUGGAGCCUCCGGCCAUGCCCUCCCACUGGUGCAUAGCCCUCCCUCCUCUCGCUCGACCGAGAUCUGGCAGCCUCCUGACUUCCCCUUUCUAGGUCAGGAGGGUCCCCGUCUCACUCUUCCACCACAUCAUUCCUCAUAUCUCCACCGGGACCUCCCAGAGCCCCCGCCAUACCCCUCCCAUAGUCGUACUCUUAGCACCACCUCUCAGCUCCCUUCAAGCUCUGCUUUUCUCCAACUGGAGGCCCCUAGAGCCCACCUGAGCAGAUCUCCCGGCAGGUUUCCGCCUCAGGGCCCUUCAGCAAAGCAUAUAACUAUGCAACAGUCCCAGACUCUGGGGCAGUUGAGACACACUGCCCACGGUAUGGGCGUACCAGUGUUGCCUUACUUAGGCGCCACAGCACGCAUGGGGAGCCCAAGCACACUGCACAGUGAGAGCUCGGACGGCUGGAGGUCUGAGGCCCAGCCUUGGCUGAGCCCAAGGGCGGCACGAAGGAUGGAUCUGGGCCUGCAGCAGGUGGUCCUGCAGCCGUCACGACUCUCCCCUCUCACCCAAACCCCUCCCAGCUCACACGCCGGCUCUCCAGACAUUCUUGUCCGCCCUCCUCCCCGCCCCAGCAUCCUGCGGUCUUCCCGUUCUCAAGAGAUGCCCGAGAGUGCCCGUCACCCCGCCAGUGUCUCUUUCUCCCGAAGGUCUCUCUCCUCUUCCCCUGCCACUUCACCUACUCAAGGCCAGAGUGGCCAGCGACCCAGCCUCAGCUACCAUGCACACAUGGCCUUUGCCACAGCCGCGGCCAGCUACCCCUCCCAGUCCCCUUCACCCCCUGCGGAGAGCAGUGAUGCUUUCGGCCAGAUGCCAUCUCAGAGAAGAACAGAUGAGGAGAUGCUUCCCUCAGAACCCUCUCCAGGCUAUCUGGGCAGCAUUGUUGUGACCAGGUCCUCUACACCACAAUAGCCUCAGCAGCAGGGGAGUCUGUCUGUAAUCGCUUUAUGUUUCUGUGCCUUUUGACCCAGUUGACUCUUCAGUAUGAAGACAUUUGAGUGUCAUGAUCUCUGCCAUUAUAGAGGAAUGGCAUGUGCGAUAAAAGACUACACUUUACUAGAAACAUGACCUCUGUGGUCAGUUUAAUAGGAAAACCAGUGAGCUUACUGGGAAACAGGAGAUUUUGGCUAGUUGUUAUUUGAUUGGACAGUGCUGGCAGCAUGGCAGCAGUGUACAACAUGAGGUAAAAGGUUUAUUCCUGGUAAGUUAGAUGUAUUCUGAAGUAAAUUAAUGGGGAAAAUGCUCAAUUCAACUCACCAGACUAACUGAAUUAACUCAACGUGCUUUUAAUUUGCAGAAUACCCAUUUAACGAGGAAGAGUCUUUGUUUUUGUUUUUUUAAAUAAAUGAUUUGGUAUUUAAUUUUGAUUCUGAUGAACAAAGAAAAGUUUUCAUUAUCAAGAUUUCAUUUUGAUAGACAGUAUUUUCUACAUAAUAUCUAACAACACUUGCAAAUUGCCAAAAGUUGAUUAAUUGCUACAUUGAACAGAACAUGAUGAUGAAUGGUACAUUUGUCAUGAAGGUUUUGCACUUGGCAUUGGGGCAGCCAAAGUGUUCCCUGUUGGGGGCUAAAACUCAGUUUGAUCUGGCCGGUGGAGGGCAGCGCACGCUGGUGGCGGUGUGAAGUAAUGCAUCAUUGUGUUUGUCUCUCACAGGGAGCAUCUAGGUGCAGUGAGAGUCCCUGCAGGGUCUGAGAGCUUUGAAGCAUUGAUUUAUUAUUGUAUUAAUAAAGCCAAGAAAUCAACAGCCAACAAGAACAACAACUCCAGAUUCAAGAAAAGGACAGAUGUGUCCACCUCUCAG